CCUACGGGCGGCAGCAGUGGGGAAUAUUGCGCAAUGGGCGAAAGCCUGACGCAGCGACGCCGCGUGAGGGAUGAAGGUCUUCGGAUCGUAAACCUCUGUCAGCAGGGAAGAACGGUCACUGUGCUAAUCAGCAGUGAAUUGACGGUACCUGCAAAGGAAGCACCGGCUAACGCCGGGCCAGCAGCCGCGGUAAUACGGAGGGUGCGAGCGUUAAUCGGAAUUAAUGGGCGUAAAGAGCUCGUAGGCGGUAUGUCAAGUCAAUGGUGAAAUCCCCGCGCUCAACGUGGGAACUGCCUUUGAAACUGGCAGACUGGAGUGUGUGAGAGGAUAGUGGAAGUCCAGGUGUAGGAGUGAAAUCCGUAGAUAUCUGGAGGAACAUCAGUGGCGAAGGCGACUAUCUGGCACAUAACUGACGCUGAGGAGCGAAAGCGUGGGUAGCAAACAGGAUUAGAUACCCUAGUAGUC
rnacentral:rRNA from 1 species